rnacentral:rRNA from 1 species
AUUGAACGCUGGCGGCAGGCCUAACACAUGCAAGUCGAACGGUAACAGGAAGAAGCUUGCUUCUUUGCUGACGAGUGGCGGACGGGUGAGUAAUGUCUGGGAAACUGCCUGGUGGAGGGGGAUAACUACUGGAAACGGUAGCUAAUACCGCAUAACGUCGCAAGACCAAAGAGGGGGACCUUCGGGCCUCUUGCCAUCGGAUGUGCCCAGAUGGGAUUAGCUAGUAGGUGGGGUAACGGCUCACCUAGGCGACGAUCCCUAGCUGGUCUGAGAGGAUGACCAGCCACACUGGAACUGAGACACGGUCCAGACUCCUACGGGAGGCAGCAGUGGGGAAUAUUGCACAAUGGGCGCAAGCCUGAUGCAGCCAUGCCGCGUGUAUGAAGAAGGCCUUCGGGUUGUAAAGUACUUUCAGCGGGGAGGAAGGGAGUAAAGCUAAUACCUUUGCUCAUUGACGUUACCCACAGAAGAAGCACCGGCUAACUCCGUG